CAUCGCGGACGGGCAAUUGGGUGCCGGCACCGCUUACGCGUACGCUUAGUUGCUAAAUAGUUCAAAGUUAGACAAUCGACUUGCUGUGGACUCAUUAUCUACAGUAUAGUGUCUAUAAUUAAAGAGUGGUGCAGUUUCAACUGUGCUGCGUGGGCGAUCGUGUACAAAAAUGAAUAAGCGGCUAUAUGUGUUUGUGUGAUCAGAUGCCGGUAUAAAAGUACAUUACAUAUAUAUGUAUGUACAUGUAUGCACAUAUCUUUUUUCGUUUAUUUUUACAAGUGUUUUCAAUUCGACAAUGGAAGAAAAGAAAAUGAACCCGACUGCGAGUAAUGUGAUAACUAAUACCAUUUGGUACCUUUUGUAUUUUUGGGCACAGUGCAUUUGAAAGCGUUCAGUGUUGGCCGGCGGCCAUCAUUUUUUUCGCUCUCCCUCUCUCUUAUUGACCAAACUCCAUGAGCAGUGCUUAAAGCUUAAAUCGAAGAAUCGAAGCGGACUACUCAAAGCGAACGGACGUCAUGGACGAGCAAUUUAUUUAAAAAGCUAAACGAGGCACAUGCGGAUUAACACAAACACCCAAGGACUAACUUUAAAAUCGGGUAUUUUUGGGCACAGUGCAUUUGGAAGCGUUCAGUGUGCGCCGGCGGCCAUAAUUUUUUUCGCUCUCCCUCUCUCUUAUUGACCAAACUGCGUGAGCAGUGCUUAAAAAAAACUCAAAGAGAACGGACGUGGACGAGCAAUUUACGCAAAAAGCUGAACGAGGCACAAACGUAUUAACACCAAAACACACAAGGACUAACUUUAAAAUCAGGUGAGUGGACAAAAAAUUCAAAGUGCAUUUAUAAAAUUCAUGAAAUAGACAGUUUAAAACUAUAAAUCAACACAAUCAAUAAUGGUGCAAAAUAACCAGCUAUCAAGUUUAGCUACAGCUACUGCUGACUCAAAUUUAAAAAAAUAAUACUACUACUACUAUACA